CCUUCGUGUUUUUAAUAUACCGCGCCGCGGCCAGAAGGGAAUCUGUGAAAUCAAACUCAUUCUCUCGGGCUCGCUUUCUUAAUUAAACUCCCGGAGCUGAGAGGGAGGACAGCUUUAAUUUGAAACGAGCCAGCCCACCUCUGCCAGAUUAAAAACUUGCCAUGACUGGCACCAGUCUUCAAUAUUCACUGGAGGAAAACAGAAUCUCCGGAAGUCAGUCAAUUUGACUGAAAGACUCAGUUCCAUCUCCAAGACGUGUUACAGUUUGCAGGCGCAAGCGACAAGGCAACAGCAGCAGAGAGAAUGUCUAACUUUACUUGCUGGACGAAACUCGGGUUGGAGCAAGAGAUAUUUAUUUUGCAAAUAUAACCUGCAUUGGUGUGAUCCUGGCGUGGUUCCAGAGCCAUCCACCCAACCUUCGCAGAGGUGCCGUGGCUCUGAGGAAUGAUCCUGUACUAAGGCUACCCUCCUGCUCUCGAUUUUAAAUGUCAAUGUACGUGAUCUCAUUUUCUUAAAAUAUACGAAGCCAGUUCUACUAAAAUGGCGGAGAUAGCCGUUUCCAUGAAGUGGUAUGAUGAGCCUUAACGAGUCUAGGAGACGAUUCAAUCUUCUUCAGAGCGGGAAAAACAGCCGUCAGCCUACGCCGCGGAACCGCCUUCCCUCUUCGCCCUGUUGGCAAGAAUUGCAGAGCAAGGGACGAAGGGAUUUCUGCAAAAGACCCGCUUCUGCUUCUCCCUUCCGCCCCCGUUCCUUGUAGCAGGAAAUCCAUACUGGGAUUUUUGACCCGUGGAAGGUCAUUCCUCGAUUUCCCCGACUGUAUUUCUGCAGGAAACAGAAUAGGUAUGAAUUACAGUAAGAGCAUCGUGAUCUGGGGACGGUGCAUGUCUUUGCUUGAAAAAUUAAACCAUGAUGCAGUACAUUAGUGCCCCACAGGGCGAGAUUUUGGAUGGUCCUGGAAAAAAAAAAGGCUAUUGUGUGUUUCCCACAUGCUUUCCUUGCUACUCUCUGAAAGCCAGAGAUCGAUUCAAGGAACAGAACAUGCCUCAUCUGAAGAGGCGAAGCAUAUACUGCCGCUGUUAACUUGCAAACAAUACAAAAUUACUUCAAGACAGAACCCAUCCGUUAUACAAUAAAUUCCAGACAUAAAGCUCGCUCCUUCCUUCCUUCCUUCCUUCCUUCCUUCCUUCCUUCCUUCCUUCCUUCCUUCCCUGUUUUGUUUUUUCAAAUAACUCAAGGCAGCAAACAUAUCCAAUGUACCUUUCUUCUUCUUUUUCCCCCAAAACAACAGGGCUAGGCUGAGAGAGAGUGACUGGCCAAAACCAUCCAGUUGGCUUUUGGAAGAUUACUCUUCUUCUCUCUAUCCUUUAUAUAAUACUACUACUAUUGUUAAAUCUGCACAUCUAGCAAAAUUUAAGGAUACUAUUUUAAAACAUUUAUUUCACUGCUCUCUGUUCUCUAGUUCUUGCAGAUGACACAUGCGUUAUGAUUUGGAUCACUUUUGUGAAUAGUGAUUUCUGCAAAAGAGUCAGUAAUGCAGAAAAGAGGGAGAUUUAUAUUCUGGAUUCUUUCAUAGCAUUUUUUUUAUUUCCUUUCCUUCCUCUGCUACCUCUCUUGGUCAUCCUCUUUAUGAGGAAACCAGAAUCAAGUUGUAAUAAACAAAAGAGAUACAAAUCAAGAAUCUAUUACAAUCCAGAUGAAAUAAAUUGUGUCUAACAGACUAAUGUAAUGAACAUGUAAUCAAAACAAAAUUGCAUUGAGUUGACUCCCUGAUGUAGAAUGGUUAUAGAAUCAUCACACUUCACUGAACUCAAGGGAGAUAAAAUAAAUUUUCCUUCAAGUCAACCUUAUUCACACAUUGGUAAAGGCUUCUCAGCGAGGACUUGGAAAUGGCUUGGCAAUAUCAUUUCCCCCUCCAGCCUAGUCUACAAUUCUGAGAUUUCCUUGUAGUCUUCUAUCCAAGUACUAAUCACGCCUACUUAUAUUUUCAGUUAAGGCUGACUAGAUGUUACCUACUUGGAUUCAAUAUUAUUCUGGAUAAAUAUAUUUGGGAUUGGAUUUGACAAUAGGAAGUCUUUACAAUAUUAGACACACUCCUCUUUGGGCACAGAUGACAGUCAGUCUUAGCAGAAUAAACCAGUUUUAGCUUUCUAUGCUAAUGAAAGCAAGUAAUAGCUCCCUCCCCCGUUUUUCCUUUCCCAGAAAGAGAUAUUCUAUGCUUUCAGUGUCAGACUAAACAAAUAAUUAAUAAUCUGGAAUAAGGUUAAUUUUCAUUUCUAUACUAACAAGGUUUUCAUUUGUUUUUUUAGAAGCAUCAUUCAGAUGCUUUAGGAACUGAAUGCUUUUUCAGGCUGAACAUUUUGGUUGGUCAUUAAUUUAAUCCCUUUUCCUCAGCCUGCAAAUUUCAUUUAUGGUUUUAGUAUAAACUUGAACAGUUGCAAUCAUGGACUAUGAAUCACCAAGUUUCAAAUGCUAUUUUGAAAGAAAAAUGAAAAAGCAAGUCCAUAAUACCCCUGAGGAUCAUCUUAAGGUAAGCUUUUUAUCAUGCUGAUAUGCUGCUUCGAUGAUAAUGAUGUGAAAUCAGCUUCUCCCAAUGCAUUUGUAUCUAUAUUUUUUCAGAGUGUGUUUUGCCUUUUUAUUUCUAUACAAUAUUAGAUUUAUAGUAUUUGCCCCAUAAUCACAACAAGGUUUAUUUGGUUUUGGGUUUAAGACAUUAUUUGAACCCAAAUACUGUGUUUACAAAACUUAGUUCACGGCUUUGAGUCAGGAUACUAUAAUUUGUCUAUAGAACCAUAUUUAGAAGUAGUGGCUUUGCAUGUUAAUUGAAUUCUUCCCCUUUGAUAUUGGCAGUAUCUUCAACACCAGUUGAGAUAGAAAGCAUGUAUUCUUGGAGAGAAGUAACUUUAUAUUUUUAUAUGCACUUCUGUAUUACUUAUUUUGCAGAGCGAAUAUACAAAGAAUUCAUUCUAUAGGUAGAAUAUUUGCUGACAAAUUUAUUUCUUGCAUUCUUUCAUAUUUAUUGUAUGGACAUUCUUUUAUAAAUAGAAUAUAAUAGAUACUAUAACAAUGUUCCUUUCUCACAAUUAUAAUUCAUAUUCACCUUCCAUCUUAAAAACUCAGCUCACUGGAGAAGGUUCAUUUAAUUAUCCCUAUGAAGGCGAGCUUCAAUGGAUCCAGAAUGUGGCCACACUAGCAAUGAUGGGUUGCCUCAGUGUGCACACAUGACACCUCAUUUGUAUAUUUUAAAUACAACAUUAAAUUUAGAGAAUAGUAAAUUAUGACACAACAUCAAAUACCUGAAGGUACAAUACAGCUGCUUCAAUUUAUGAACAAGUAGCCUCAUAUUUGUGCAGUGCUGCUAGAGAAAAGGCCUUCUCUCAGGUAUCUUCUCUUGUGGAACAGAAUUAAGGUGAUAAAUUACACUUGGUCUCUAAUGAAAAAAGCUGACAUUUCAGAUAAACUAACCCAAACUUAAGGACCUUUUAUUCUAAACUUCUAUAUUUAGUCUUUAAGUUGGUAGCAGAUUGAAACUGAUAAUUGUACUCAAAGACUACCUGAGCAGCUGCAGCCUUUAAAAGAUAAUCAUACAAAUUAAUAAAAUGACUUAAAAUAA